AGUAACAAUGGGGGAGAAGGGGCAGUUUCUAGAAGGAGAAGGAGGCACUGGAGCAGAUACAAAUAAUUCCUGCCUACAAAAUUCUUCCCUAUCUGUCCUCCUAUCAUAAAAGUGUCAGCUUUCAUGACUGACGAUGCAUCUACAAGGACUGGAGUUGAACUUCAAGCAAGAGACUCACAGACAAAGGCGCCCUGGGCCAGUGGCACACACUAGCUUUAUCAAAGAGACUCAGGGACAAGUACGCCUGGUCUGUACUGCGGUUUGCCAAUUAGCUGGAUGAACAGCUGGCUAAUUUCUGUUUUAUCUCUUGGGCAGAAGACACAUGAGGCUAGAAUAGGUUAUCUUCAACGGGGAGCCGAGCUAAGGCCUCAUCGAAAACGGAAACAGAGCACCCAAGAUGAAGAUGCUGUUAGCCUUUGCAGUCUCGACAUAAGUGAGCCUAGUAAUAAACGGGUCAAACCCCUUUCCCGAGUCACGUCGCUAGCAAACCUCAUCCCGCCCGUGAAGGCCACGCCAUUAAAGCGCUUCAGUCAAACCCUGCAGCGCUCCAUUAGCUUCCGCAGUGAGAGCCGCCCUGACAUCCUCGCCCCCCGACCCUGGUCCAGAAAUGCCGCCCCCUCGAGCACGAAACGGAGAGAUAGCAAGCUGUGGAGUGAGACCUUCGAUGUGUGCGUCAAUCAGAUGCUUACAUCCAAGGAAAUCAAACGUCAGGAGGCGAUCUUUGAGCUUUCCCAAGGAGAAGAAGACUUGAUAGAAGACUUGAAAUUAGCAAAAAAGGUAAAUUUAA
rnacentral:lncRNA from 1 species